UACGUAGGCAGCAAGCGUUGUUCGGAAUUACUGGGCGUAAAGAGCGUGUAGGCGGUGUUCUAAGUUUGUCGUGAAAUCUCCCGGCUUAACUGGGAGGGUGCGGCGAAAACUGGAAUGCUAGAGGAUGGGAGAGGUAAGCGGAAUUCCUGGUGUAGCGGUGAAAUGCGUAGAUAUCAGGAGGAACACCUGUGGUGUAGACAGCUUACUGGACCAUUUCUGACGCUGAGACACGAAAGCGUGGGUAGCAAACAGG
rnacentral:rRNA from 1 species